rnacentral:lncRNA from 1 species
UAUACCACAGCCACAGCAACAUGGGAUUCAAGCAUCCUCUGCAACCUACACCAGAGCUCACAUGGCAGCGCCGGAUCCUUAACCCACUGAGCAAGGCCAGGGGUCGAACCUGCACCCUCAUGGAUCCUGGUCGGGCUCGUUACCACUGGGCCACAACAGGAACUUCCUCAGCCAAACAAUUUUUAAAUAACUUCCCUCACAGUUUCCUUGUCAAGUUUAAAAGUUUUUGUGGUUGCCUGUUUUCUUUGAGGGGUUCCAACAGACUUGCUUUUUCUGACAGUGUAAAAUUUAGUAAAAGUCAAUUAGACUUUUUUUGGUAAAAGUAAGUUUGUGAGUUAUAGUCUUAACCUGUACCAUCUUUUCUUGGGCCUUUACUGAGGAUGUGAAAAUGAAUGAAUAAGUUGUGUAGGUUCCGUGUCCUCAGGAAGCUUACAUUGUAGAAGACAGAAAAGUAAAUGUCCUUUUUUUUUUUUCCCAAGCAAGCAAAGUCUUUAUUACAGGAAAGCAAACAGCUCCCAGGACAGCUGGGAGGGGGAAGAAGAGCCCCCUCUCUCUAUUGUCCUUAAGGGGGGUUUAUCCCUUAAAGAUGGGAGGGGUACCACCGUGAGGUCUAGAAAGAUGUGGUUUUCCCCCAUUGGCCUUGCCCAGUUACCUAUAUCAGUCCUUGUCCAAUAGGGGUCCUAGAGGUGGAAAUGUCCUGUAAGUUUCAUGGUUUCUUUGUCCUUCUCUUCCCGUAGACUGAGUCACAGAGGGUUAGGGAUUCGUGUCCAUCUGGGCAUAGGUACACUCCCCAUAGUAAACAAGGCCUGUGGGGAUGUUACGCCCUGGAGCCUUUAAGCCACAAAUGUUAAUUAAUGGCCAUAUCAAAGAAUGCAUCGAAGCCCAUGCUCCUACACUGACUCCCUGAGUGAUUGCUCUGCCUCAAUCCCCCCUCUAGAGUUGGACACUCUAACUGCGGGGGGUAAAUGUACUUUUUUAGCUUCUAGGCAGAGGGAGACCAUGAGGAUUACCUACCAUGAGGGGUAGGUAAGUGACCAGCUGGAGGGGAGCGGUCAAGGGAAGUGUCCUGCUGAACAGAAAACCUGAGCUGAGAGCACAGGGGGACCAGGACUGAGCCAGAGAGUCAAUGGGAAGGAAAACGGAGAAACACAGAGAUGAAGUUCUUGUGCCUGAAUGAUGUAAAGUCUAAACUUAGGGUCUGGUGUAAAGGCUUCCUUGACAUAUGGUGAAACCUACAGAGCCUCAAAGGUCCUAACCACAGGCUCCCUCCCCACCCUGCUCCUGAGGAUGAGCAACCCCCCCACCACCCCGCAAACAAACCUCCGUGUCAAGGAGUUCCUGCUUAUCUCUGGCAGCAGCCUGUGGAACGGUUCAAAUAAGUCAACCACAUCCUUCCAUGUGGGCCUGAGGUCACCCCUGCCCCUUAAUAUUACCAAGCUGACCCCCACAAAAAUAGGCUGCUCCUUCUGUCUCCAAGCACAGCUUCCAUGUGGCCCUGUGUGGCACCAGCUCCUCCUCUCUGGCUGUGAGCACGUGUGACUAAACUGCUGGUGGUCUCGUCUGUCCAGACUUUAAAAUUUUUUUUAUUAUAGUUGAUUUAUAAUGUUCUGUCCAUUUCUGCUGUACAGCAAAGUGACCCAGUUAUACAUACAUAUACAUUCUUUUUUUUCACAUUUCCUCCAUUGUGUUCCAUUGCAAGUGAUUAGAUAUAGUUUCCCGUGGUAUGCAGCAGGACCUCAUUGCUUAUCCACUCCAAAUGCAAUAGUUUGCAUCUACUAACCCCAAACUGCCAGUCCAUCCCACUCCCUCCCCCUCCCCCUGGCAACCACAAGUCUGUUCUCCAUGUCCAUGAGUUUAUUUCUUUUCUGUAGAUAGGAUCAUUUGUGCCAUGUAUUAGAUCCCAGAUAUAAGUGAUAUCAUAUGGUAUUUGUCUUUCUCUUUCUGACUGACUUCACUUAGUAUGAGAGUCUCUAUUUCCACCCAUGUUGUUGAAAUGGCCUUAUUUUUUUCUUUUUUAUGGCUUAGUAUUCCAUUGUGUAUAUGUACCACAUCUUCUUAAUUCAUUCAUCUGUCAAUGGACAUUUAGGUUGUUUCCAUGUCUUGGCUAUUGUGAAUAGUGUUGUACCACAGAAAAGAAACUCGUGGACUUGGAGAACAGACUUGUGGUUGCUGAGAGGAGGGAGAGGGCGUGGGAUGGACUGGGAGCCUGGGGUUAAUAGAGGAAAACUAUUGCAUUUGGAAUGGAUAAGUAAUGAGAUCCUGCGGUAUAGCACUGGAAACAAUGUCUAGUCACUUGUUAUGGAGCAUGAUGGAGGAUAAUGUGAGAAAAAGAAAGUGUGUGUGUGUGUGUGUGUGUGUGUGUGUGUGUGAGAGAGAGAGAGAGAGAGAGAGAGAGACUGGGUCACUUUGCUGUACAGUAGAAAAUUGACAGAACACUGUAAACCAACUAUAAUGGAAAAAAUAAAAAUCAUUAAAAAUACAUUAAAAGUGAAUAGUGCUGUAAUGAACAUAUGUGUACAUGUAUCUUUUUCAAGGAAAGUUUUGUCCGGAUAUAUGCCCAAGAGUGGGAUUGCUGGGUCAUAUGGUAGUUCUAUAGUUUUCUGAGGUACCUCCAUACUGUUUUCCAUAGUGGUUGUAUCAAUUUACAUUCCCACCAGUACAGGAGGGUACCAUUUUCUCCACACCCUCUGCAGCAUUUGUUAUUUGGUGACUUUGUUAUUUGAUGGCCAUCCUGACUGGUGUGAGGUGGUACCUCACAGUAGUUUUGAUUUGUAUUUCUCUAAUAAUUAGUGAUGUUGAGCAUUUUUUCAUGUGCUUGUUGGCCGUCUGUAUGUCUUCCUUGGAGGUGUGUGUGUGUUUGUGUGUGUAUGUGUGUGUGUGUGUACACUUGGCCAUCCCCCUGACCCCAGGACUUGAAUCCCUACCUCACCAGCAGGAUGAAUAGGAGGUGGUUACACAGUGGGCAUAGGGAUGUGCAUGCAGAGCCCCUAAGCAGCAUCGCUGGAGGCUUUGGUGAGGCGGGAGAGCUGAGCUGGCUGCCCAGGAAGUGGGCAGAGACCAGGUCAUGACAGUUCUAGAGCCUUUAACCAGGUAGUGUGGAUCUUAGUGGCAGGAAAACAGGCUGCAUCUGAGUAGUGAACAGAUGACUCUGGGCAGUGUGUGAGCUGGGUUCGAGCGGAUGGGGUUAGAGGUAGAAAGUCUGAUGAGGGAGCUGCUGCUGACAUCCAGGUAAGAGAAGAUGAGGACCUCAACCAGAAUGGGCGGGUGAAGUCGGGGCGCAGAGGAAGGGAGAGCCUCAGGGAGGGUUUAUAAAGUGGGAAACGUAAUCAGUUGCGCACCGCCCCCCACCCCACCUCCCGCGCUCCGCACCCAAUCAAAAGGCAGCAGGGAUGUGUUGGAUCUGAUAGUGAGUGAAUGAGUAUUAACGGAGCGCUUGCGAAGCUCAGCAGGACCGUAGGGUAGGGCUGUGCAGGGUGAGGGGGCAGCCAGCCUGAAGACGUGAGGGCUGUGGGGACCCACCCUGUGCCCCACCCACUACGCGUAGUAGGUCACCAGGAGAUCUGAGAUAAGGCCCCCCCCCCAGGUGAUGGCUUUGAUUUAUACACCCCAAAGAUGAUGUGACCGCAUGCUCAAGUGCAGACUCAGGCUGUGCCUGCAGAAUUCUGAAAAGGCAAACAGCAUCUCUCUCCAUUUUCGCAUGUAAGAUAAGAAUCGGACUUCUU